rnacentral:misc_RNA from 1 species
GAAUGGAGAAAGAAAGGGAGAGAGAGAGAGAGAGAGAGAGAGAGACAAAGAUAAGAAAAAAAGAAAAGAAAAAUGAUUGCCUCUAUUAGAAAAGUUUCAGAAGCGGCAGUCGCAAAAGGUGCAGCACAAGAUUCAACAGAAGCAAGAUAAAAGGAACGAUCGACCGAUGAACAACGGGGCAUUCUUAAUCAAAUCGACAAUUUAUCUUAUUCAACUGGUAUUAUUAUUGUUGUCGACCACUUAUCGUCGUUCCCUGCUCUAGCACUACCAAUAAACCAUAUUCACCAGUUUAACCACUGUUUAUGCCAUAGUCACUGGGUCGGCUCAUUAGCCGCGAUAACGAGGAACGUGGAUCGUAGAGCGAUUAGACGUGUGUUUAACGUGGACUUUUACUCGAUCAAUUUGCCGAGGUCCGUUACUUUUUGCCAGCUCGAAGAAUUUGAUCGGACGAUUAAACGACCGUGACGAAGCAACAUGGCCGUUGGGUGCAAAAAGAAACGGAUCUAACUUGUCCAGGCGAUAAUUGAAAGAGACAGGCCGAAAGGAGAAUCGAGCGAGACGAUUGAUGAAUAUUUCAGCGGGGAUCAGGUCGAGAAUUACGAGGCGAAAAAAGGAAGCUUCACGGUGGUAACAGCUGGCCGUCAUCGAAGGUUUCGCGAAAGAAGAAACGAAAAAAUCG